CUCUACUGAAGAAGCUAUCUUCCCUGGGUAUCCAAGCUGCAGUGCGACAUCUCAGAGAUGCAUCUGUCUUUGUCUCACCAAUGGUCCUCCUGGACAGUCCUCUUGCUGCUGGUGUCCAACCUGCUUCUGUGGGAGAACACAGCCUCUGCUAUGAGAGCUAAACUGUUGAAUGUCCACAACUACACAUCCUAUGGAGACACUUGGAAUCAGGCAAUUAAGAUAUCCCAGGACAUGAAUCAGUACAUUUCAGAUCUGUCCACUCACGUUAAAAUAUUUUAUGCCCAAGGCCGAGGGUUUGAACGCCGGACCACCAGAUGCCACACUUCUUCCCUCUCUAGUCCAGAAAACAAGGAGCAAGCCCAACAGUUCCAAGUGCUACCCUCUACAAGGCCUUGAUGCUUAAGGAAUCAAACAUAAAGCUCCUGGAUGCCAUAAAGAAUAUUGCCAAAAAGGGUAAUUUUGAAAUCAACGAAAAGGCGAACUACACUGCCUGGUCUGAAUUGGGAUUCUUGCAAUCGCCCAAUAGAGACACUAGAUACUUUGCCUUUUAUAACCUGUUUCACUGCCUCAAGAAGGACUCAAAUAACGUGGAAAUGUAUCUGAAGCUUCUGAAGUGCCGACUGAUCCGAAGCAAGUGCUAAGAACGCAUAACAUCCUUAAUAUCCUUCUGCCCCAGUGAUGGUUCUUAAAUUGCACUUGUACAAAGUACCUGAGUCUAAUGGCUCUGUUCUUUAAAAACAAAAAAUAAAAAACUGAACAAAGUUUCCCAAG
rnacentral:lncRNA from 1 species